rnacentral:tRNA from 1 species
UCCCCGGUAGCUCAGUUGGUAGAGCGUCCGGCUGUUAACCGGAUGGUCGCUGGUUCGAGUCCGGCCCGGGGAG